CGUUGUAAAUACCAAGUGAACAAAUCAAUCUCACAUUUCACUACGAUAUUUAUACACUAGUGUAAAUUCCAAUUAUUCCACGAUUUUGCUGACAAUUCAUAUUAUUUUGAUUUGAUCUAUUUGAUUCGAAUUUUUUAACACUUGAUCAAUCGAUUGAUCCGGAGUUCAGACAGAUUGUUGAAUUCAAGUCGCCAGGGAAAAUGACGAAUCGUUUCAAGUCAUCCAUACCAGCGAAAGGAGAAACAAAGGAUGAGAUUACGACGAUCAAAUGUGCGCUGAAGAUAAGCAUUCGCCCACAAUUCCAGCAAGCAUUGAUGAGCAAAAUAACUGACCUGAGUUUGCAAGCCACUUCAAUUUGCGUUUUGGGCUCAUUGCUGUUCUUGUUCGAGGUGCAAAAGGCGUACGAGCAUACAACUCUGCUUUAACCAAGUGCUAUGGUAUAACAAUCAGCCACCAAAACCGAAGUCGACGUACAAACCACGAGGAACAAAGCUACGAGGACCAAAGAGCUGCCACGUAUCGACCCUGAAUUCAAAGCAAUCGUCGAAGGUAUUGUCGAAUAUCGUCUGAUUGACCCAACAACAAAGAUUUCAGCAAUGGCCUCAAGCAUUUGGUCAAUCAAUACACAAACAACGUCGUCACCAAUUCAACAACGCAUCUUAACAAACACAUCACCCAGUAAGUACUUGAAACUGAAGGUGUUCGAAUUGAACACAGACGGAGAAGAGGUGGCACAAAAAAUUUUGCCAAGUGACAUUGAAAGUGUUGUGAAACUGAUUAUCAAACAAAAAGUCAUCAAAGUGCCAAUUCACGAUCCAAACCAACUCGAACGGUGUGGCAUGUUGUAUGACGGAAAAACUCCGGAUUUCGCCUGGAUUUCUUACUGUUUUCGACUAUGUUUCAACAAAUAACUUCAAUAAUUUUAGCACUGAAAAUGUAUAUCUUUUUAUUUCGAACCGAUAAAUAUUAUAUUUGCUUUCGUCAAAAACAUGAGACGAAUAAAAACUGAGAGUCAAAAUAUAACAUCUCGCUUGUUUCACG